CUCAGAAAUUAAAUUAUUUGCAAUGGAAGGAAUGAGCUUUCUCUGGAUACAUCAGCUAGAAAAGGAAAGCAACAAACAGCAAAGAAAACAAACAGAACAGAAGAAGAAAAAGAAACUAAGAACUCUAUGUAAGAGAUGCAACCCAUACAUAAUCUGGCAUAAAAAGGAAUAAGGUUUGUUUGUUCUAUUUAGUCUGGCAAUUAAAAAUUUAUUUAUUACAACCAAACCAUUCAUUUAGUCUUACACUUGUCUCUCACUCACUCACUGACAGAGAGCACAUGAUGUUUUUUAAGGGCCAGUGAUGCCUCAUCCGGUGCUGAUGAUCCAAAUUUCUGAAACUGAACCCUUAAUAUAUUCUCCUCAGACACCACCAAACGCCUGUUUCCAUCAUCAUCGAAAUGAAUCCCAAUAUGCCC
rnacentral:lncRNA from 1 species